rnacentral:rRNA from 1 species
AUUGAACGCUGACAGAAUGCUUAACACAUGCAAGUCUACUUGAUUCUACUUCGGUAGUUGAUGGUGGCGGACGGGUGAGUAACGCGUAAAGAAUCUGCCCUUUAGUUUGGGAUAACCUUUGGAAACGAAGGCUAAUACCGGAUAUUAUGGAGACGUCGCAUGGCGACUCCAUGAAAGCUAUAUGCGCUAGAGGAGGACUUUGCGUCCCAUUAGUUAGUUGGUGAGGUAAUGGCUCACCAAGACCGCGAUGGGUAGCCGGCCUGAGAGGGUGAUCGGCCACAAGGGCACUGAGACACGGUCCUUACUCCUACGGGAGGCAGCAGUGGGGAAUAUUGGACAAUGGGCCACAAGCCUGAUCCAGCAAUUCUGUGUGCACGAUGAAGGUCUUCGGAUUGUAAAGUGCUUUCAGUAGGGAAGAAAAAAAUGACGGUACCUACAGAAGAAGCGACGGCUAAAUAUGUGCCAGCAGCCGCCGUAAGAC